GACGAACGCUGGCGGCGUGCUUAACACAUGCAAGUCGAACGAUGAAGCCCAGCUUGCUGGGUGGAUUAGUGGCGAACGGGUGAGUAACACGUGAGUAACCUGCCCUGGACUCUGGGAUAACUUCGGGAAAUCGGAGCUAAUACCGGAUAGGACCUUUCACCGCAUGGUGGGGGGUGGAAAGUUUUUCGGUUUGGGAUGGACUCGCGGCCUAUCAGCUUGUUGGUGAGGUAAUGGCUCACCAAGGCGUCGACGGGUAGCCGGCCUGAGAGGGUGACCGGCCACACUGGGACUGAGACACGGCCCAGACUCCUACGGGAGGCAGCAGUGGGGAAUAUUGCACAAUGGGCGCAAGCCUGAUGCAGCAACGCCGCGUGCGGGAUGACGGCCUUCGGGUUGUAAACCGCUUUUAGUAAGGAAGAAGCCUUUCGGGGUGACGGUACUUGCAGAAAAAGGACCGGCUAACUACGUGCCAGCCGCCGCAGUAACAC
rnacentral:rRNA from 1 species